rnacentral:rRNA from 1 species
AUGGCAAUCAUUGCAGCAAUGCCGACAAGCAUGCCUCUGCACACCAGCACAAGCAACACUCAAGCAGAUGAAAUAACCACCAUUAUUGAAGUAAAUGCUGAAAUUGAUGACGAAGCGCAAGGGGAAGAAGAAGAUGGACAAUCAGAAAUCAUGAUACCUCAACCACCAUAUCUUGGACAGAGAUUUGAUACUUUUGAAGAUGCCAAGGAGUACUACCAGAGAUAUGCGAUGUUCCAUGGAUUUGCGGUGAACACAGAAUACCAUAGGAAAAUUAAAAAACUAACGAGUACAGCAGAGGUGAGAUAA